rnacentral:lncRNA from 1 species
AUGGAGAUGAAAGCCCCGGAUGAGAUGUCUCUGAGGGACCUUCCAGGACUUUGUUUUGAGCAACUGAAGGAAAGAAGAGAAAUUAAAGGGAGAUCCCUUCUCCCAGGCAGUGUCGCUGUGAGAUGCUCUUUCUUGGCCCCACGGAGUCCUGUGGUCCCUGCCUGGUCCUCCCCGUCUCUUCUAGGCUGUGGGGCUCAAGAUCCUUCAGGGAGAGCCCAUUGUCCUCUCAUCACCAAGUGGGUCUCUACAGUUUGCAACCAAGAACCCUAAUUACCCUUGUGGUCCAUCUGGCCAUUCAGGUGAGAUCACCCUCACCCCUCGCCCUCCUGCUGCCUGGAGAAAUGAUAACCCGCUGGUGCCAGCUCUUACCAGGAUCCCGCUUUUGAAACUGCAAUCCUGAGCGGGUUGGAAAAUUCAAUGCCUUUUUAAUAAGUGGGCUCUUUGGGGCAGGGGAGCUGGUACUUUUACUGUGAGGGUCUUUCUCCUUUGGUGAUAAUUGAAGUUCAUAAUAUUCAUCAGAGGUCAUUAAUAUUACUUUUGUGGAAAGAGCAACAUCCAGACCAACCUCCAGAAGGAUUUCUUUCACAAUCUAAUCAAAUUAUAUGCAAUUUGAACAAGAGUUUUUAUAAGCAGUGUGCCCAGCCAACUUUCAAUAACAUAAGAAUUAAAAAAUACUUUUCUUCCUUCUCCCACCUCUGCUCCACCCCAGGGAAUUGUAGAGCUUGAGAAAUUGAGUUCUGGGAUGACUUCCAUAAUUAAAACCUCACGCUUGUAUAGCAAUGGUAGGAAUGAGCCCGGCUACUCCAAACCAGACUGAUCCAUGAUUUCCUUGGUCUUUGUUUGAGUCAGGAUUCUUGCUGUUAAAUGAAGAAGCUCAAUUCAAAUCAGCUUAAACAAACAAACAAAUGGAAAACAAAGAAUUAAGGGCUCAUGUAACUGAAGAGUUCGGAGACAGACUGACUUCAGGUAUGGCUGUAUCCAGGUGCUCAAAAAAUGUCAUCUGAACCCAGUUUCUCUGCAUUUCUUAAGUCUAAUGUUCUUUGGUACUGGCUUCAAAUGAAGUCAGGCAGAAGUCUGGGCUUAUCUUCUCCCGGCUGAGUCAUACUGGUGGAAAGGGAGCUUCCCACCCCCGCUUUUUAUUUCAUACUAGAGCAACCUUUUGACUGAGUUUCAUUUGGACAAUUAUUCUCAUGUGCUCCUCCUUGAACCAGUUGCAGUGGCUAGCUUUCGAACUGUAGUGCUAGAGAAGACUCUUGAGAGUUCCUUGGACUGCAAAGAGAUCAAACGAGUCAAUCCUAAAGGAAAUCAACUCUGAAUAUUCAUUGGAAGGACUGUUGCCAAACUGAAGCUCCAAUACUUUGGCCACCAGAUGCAAAGAGCUGACUCGUUGGAAAAGACUCUGAUGCUGGGAAAGGUUGAAGGCAAAAGGAGAAGGGGGCAACAGAGGAUGAGAUGGUUAGACAGCAUCACUGAUUCAAAGGACGUGAAUUUGAGCGAACUCUGGGAGAUAGUGGAGGCAGAGGAGCCUGACAUGCUACAGUCCAUGGGGUCACAGAGAGUUGGAUAUGACUUAGCAGCUGAACAGCAAGGGAGAAGUAGAUACUGAUGGACCAGGCCUGGAGUGUGUCUACUCAGACGCCAGAGACUAAGAAGUUGGGAGAGGUAGCUUUUCCAAAGGAGAAUCAGGAAUCAGAAGAAGGAGUGACAGAUGCUGGGGAACAAGCCUGUGAAGUCCUAAACUCAUCCAUGCCAGUCUCUCUCGUUGCUCAUAGUGGUUGUAUGUGGUGACCCUCUGAUGUGGAGGACACAGCCCUCAUUCUCUCCUAUUGCUGGCUCCAAGCCUGCCUCCCCUGAGAAAGAAUACUUUCAGAGAAUGGAAGUUGAAGGUGCAAGGGUGCCCCCUGCCAGACUCUCUGAGGUGUCCCUGCUCUGAGCGCCCCACCGCAGGGCAGCUCUUCACCCUCCACGGCCCUGGCACCCUCUUCCUAACCCUUUCUGGGAACACGCUGUGGGUCUUUGAGACUCAUGUGAGAGUGGAAUGAAGAUCAACUCAGGGGCCAGGUCACCUUGCAUAAGUGUGGUUAUCGAGCCAGCUUUCGUGGAGCCCAGAGGAGAAAUACAGGCUUCUGGAGUCAGACUUCACGGGUUUGCAUCUCAGCUCUGCCAGUUACAGUUCUGUGGUCUUGGCUACGCCACUUAGGUUCUGCUUCUGUUUCUUCACAUUUAAAAUAGGUCAGAUAAUAUGUAUUGACCUGUAAGUGUGGUUUCGAGGAUUAAAUGAGCUAAUGUGUGCCCCUAGAGCACACAGUCAGUGCUCAGUGAGUGUUACCUGCCGCCACACCAUCUGAUGGUGCGCUUCCCCUGAGAGAGUUACGAUUCACAUCCAUUUCGAAGAUGGGAACAUGUGACACGAAGCACUUGCACCUCUCACAGACACCUCCCUUGGUGCCUGGCUCUAAAUCACCAACGUCAGGAAUAAAGGAGAAACAGGUUAUCA